UUGAUUCUCUUGUUUUUCACUCAUAAUUAUGCUUAAAAAUUGGAAAAUAUUGACCCUGGUUUAAGCGAGUUGGUGUAUUGAAGUUAUUGUAUUUGUUUGGCAUGUGUGCUCUUCUUUCCCCCCCUCUAUAUCUGGUCUGAGUCUAUUGGAAGAGAGGGGGGGUGAUAUAACAUGGAGGCAAAAGUUUCCCGAGGCGUGCAAUUGCCCAAUUGGAUAAACCCAGAGAAGAUUGCAAGAAAACCGAACAGUUCUUUGCAGUUUUUUCAGAAAUAUGGGGAACAACGGUUGUACCGAGUACCUGCUUCUUGUAAUCUGCUAACUAAAAGAGGAAGAUUCCAUGGGCCUGCAGUUUUAAAGAUCUCGUGUUCUUCUGAAAGCAGUCCAGGUAGUAAGUAGAGGCAAUUAUGUUUAAUGCUGUGAAUGGAUUACUCUCUUUAUGUUGGUUCUGAGCUUUGUUUUUCCUUCUCUCCCUUUCUAAUCAUAUGUAAAGCUUAUCUAGUUUAAUAUUCAGAGCUGAUCAAGGUGGAUGCUUGUUAGUAGUUUCAUUAUCUGACUUGAGCUAUUUUCCAUCAGAAGAUUGUUAAUUGAUCCGUUUGAACUGCUAAAUUAUUUGAUCAUUGCCGUAGUUAUGACGUUAUGUGAACCGCGGUUGGGUGUUUCAGAUGGAUAUUGGAGCAAUACCACCGUAAAGUGUUAACCUCUUUACAACCCUCUUGAUACAAAAGUAAAUGUCCAAAAGCCCAAUAUAAUGCUUGUUCUGCAUCACCCGUUAGAUCGUCACAUGAAAGAAAUCAAUAUUUUUGUGCGCACAAUGUUCUGGGAAUUUAUUUGCACUAUUCAUUGGGAGUGUUAACUCAUUUUUGGACUGGGGAAACAAACGUAUCUUCCAUUUUUAUUGUCUGUUUUGUUGUUCCAUUGCUAUAAUGGACUCCUUCUGUCCAUGUUUUCAGUUCAUUUAUAUGCACUGCAGAAGUUAACAAGUGAAGUUAAUUUGGUGGCCCACUUUUCUCUUAUGUUGGACAUGUGAACAAUAUGGUACAACGUAUUGUCCACACACAGCUGUGACCUCAAAUUAUCUCGUGGAACUGUGAACAACACUUGUGCAGUCAUUUAUGCAAUUUUUCACAGUUCAACAUUUUCAUUUAUCAUUGAUUCAGCUUAUUCAAGUUGUAUGAGAACAUCUAUCUAUGACAUUGCGUCUCUCCG